AGCGAACGCUGGCGGCAGGCUUAACACAUGCAAGUCGAACGGUCCUUCGGGAUAGUGGCGGACGGGUGAGUAACACGUGGGAACGUACCCUUAGGUUCGGAACAACACAGGGAAACUUGUGCUAAUACCGGAUAAGCCCUUCGGGGGAAAGAUUUAUCGCCUUUGGAGCGGCCCGCGUCUGAUUAGGUUGUUGGUGAGGUAAUGGCUCACGAAGGCUACGAUCAGUAGCUGGUCUGAGAGGAUGGCCAGCCACACUGGGACUGAAACACGGCCCAGAGUCCUACGGGAGGCAGCAGUGGGGAAUCUUGCGCAAUGGUCGAAAGCCUGACGCAGCCAUGCCGCGUGGAUGAUGAAGGUCUUAGGAUUGUAAAAUCCUUUCACCGGGGACGAUAAUGACGGUACCCGGAGAAGAAGCCCCGGCUAACUUCGUGCCAGCCGCCGCCGUAA
rnacentral:rRNA from 1 species